CAGCCGCCGCGGUAAUACCGAGGGUGCGAGCGUUAAUCGGAUUUACUGGGCGUAAAGCGUGCGUAGGCGGCUUUUUAAGUCGGAUGUGAAAUCCCUGAGCUUAACUUAGGAAUUGCAUUCGAUACUGGGAAGCUAGAGUAUGGGAGAGGAUGGUAGAAUUCCAGGUGUAGCGGUGAAAUGCGUAGAGAUCUGGAGGAAUACCGAUGGCGAAGGCAGCCAUCUGGCCUAAUACUGACGCUGAGGUACGAAAGCAUGGGGAGCAAACAGGAUUAGAGACCCGUGUAGUCCCUGUCUCUUAUAC
rnacentral:rRNA from 1 species